rnacentral:rRNA from 1 species
AGUGUAGGCGGGAUCGUAAGUUAGGAGUUUAAUACAUGGGCUUAACCCAUGAGCUGCUUUUAAUACUGCGGUUCUUGAGUAUGGGAGAGGGCGAUGGAAUUCCAGGUGUAGCGGUGGAAUGCGUAGAUAUCUGGAAGAACACCAGUAGCGAAGGCGGUCGCCUGGCCCAAUACUGACGCUGAUGCUCGAAAGCUAGGGGAGCAAACAGGAUUAGAUACCCUGGUAGUCCUAGCCGUAAACGAUGGACACUAGUUGCUGGAGGAGUCAAUCCUCUCGGUGACGAAGCUAACGCAUUAAGUGUCCCGCCUGGGGAGUACGUUCGCAAGGAUGAA